UGUGCCAGCCUAUCUGGAUCAAUCACCAUCCUCAUGAUGAUUCUAUGAUUGGGAGUAUUUAGGAAUCAAAUACAUGUCUCUAAUUCUCAGCUCUUUGAAAAUAUAUAUCAAAGCUAAUUCCUUGGACGAUUCAAGGACACAUCAUAUUUGAAUGAAAAAUAAAAUUUUUUUAUUGAUCAAAUCAAUGUAUUAAGUACAAAAUUAUAUCUUAGAGAUUAUAAUGUGUCAGCCAUAUUGGCUUCUAGGACACACAUCUAACAAUCUCCCACUUGG
rnacentral:lncRNA from 1 species